AUUGAACGCUGGCGGAAUGCUUUACACAUGCAAGUCGAACGGCAGCACGGGGGCAACCCUGGUGGCGAGUGGCGAACGGGUGAGUAAUACAUCGGAACGUGCCCAGUCGUGGGGGAUAACGUAGCGAAAGUUACGCUAAUACCGCAUACGAUCUACGGAUGAAAGUGGGGGACCGUAAGGCCUCGCGCGAUUGGAGCGGCCGAUGACAGAUUAGGUAGUUGGUGAGGUAAAGGCUCACCAAGCCGAGGAUCUGUAGCUGGUCUGAGAGGACGACCAGCCACGCUGGGACUGAGACACGGCCCAGACUCCGACGGGAGGCAGCGGUGGGGAAUUUUGGACAAGGGGCGCAAGCCUGAUCCAGCCAUUCCGCGUGCAGGACGAAGGCCUUCGGGUUGUAAACUGCUUUUGUACGGAACGAAAAGGCUCUGGUUAAUACCUGGGGCUCAUGACGGUACCGUAAGAAUAAGCACCGGCUAACUACGUGCCAGCCGCCGCCGUAA
rnacentral:rRNA from 1 species